UAUGGCACCUGGAGAGUGGUUCAAGAAAAUCAGCUCCCCGUGCACCGCUCGGAGGCGGGUUGAGCUGCAGGUUUCUGUCUCCAUCUCCCAUUUCCUUCAGUUUCUAAAAUUAUUAGUGCUGAGCCUGGAAGAGUUUCCAGCUGAUCCUUACACCCUGGAGAAGAUUGCAUUUAAGUUACUCCCACCACCACCAUCUCCGCCUCCAGUUCCUGCAGGCCUGGGCAGACCCAGCUGAGAAGAGAAUGAACUUGCAAACUUGAUUCAACCACAGGCCUUGUGCCGUGACCAAUAAAGGAUGCUCCUGCAAGCAGCUCCCCAGCUCUCCCCAGACCUGCCACCACCACCUCCAUCAUCUCCACCUGCCAGUCUGCCUGACUCCAUCUGCAGAGGAGAGACACGGCUGGAAACUGAGAGAGGAGGCUUCACAGGGCCCCACUGCCUGGACCACGGGCGCUGGGUUAGAGCAAGGCAGCCCUUCAUCAUUUCUAGCAAACUCCGUUUCCUACUUGGCAGGGGGCACUGCUCCUCUCUGGGCACCUUGGAGUCUCCUGCCUUCCAGGAAAAACAUCAGGGAAACCUUGGGUCACCUCGCUUGGCUGACAUCACCCAUCUAGACCUCAUCCAGUCCCAGGUCCCGCAAAAACAAAAGCCGUUGGACCUCAAAGGGUUGCCCUUCUUUCAGCCAGAAUACCUCUCGAAAAUGAUCUUCUUGAUGAGAGAGAUCUCUCUGUGCUGAGGUGGGCAGAUAAAUUAAGUUAAAAAAUGGAAAAUAUCAACACACUGCUCAAUCCAGCUCCGCGUUUUAUUUUUUGGCCGCUCCACACAGCAUGGGGGAUCUUAGUUCCCCAGCCAGGGAUCGAACCCACACCCCCUGCACUGGAAACUUGGAGUAGUUCUGACCAUUGGACUUCCAGGAAAUCCACCCCCUCUCCAACCUACUUUUUAAAAAUACACACUUUAAAAAAAGAAAAAGCUGUCAGAAUAUUAGCCAAAAGCAUUCCCUUUGGUUAUGUCUGAGGGUGGGAUGACAGAGGACAUUCUAUGCUCCAUGUUUCUACGAUGUUUUCAUUGAAGGAUUGCUUAUGUAGUCAGGAAUAACAGAGUGUUUGAAAAGGGGAAUGGCGAGGGGUUCUUGGGGUCCUUGAUGUCUUGAGAAGCCAGGUGGGUUGACAGGCAGGAUUCUAGAACAGUUCAUUCAAGAGUCUGAGAGACCACUUUCCCCAGGUUGGGGAAAUUUCAGCCUUUGGUCCAGGACUGAGUCAUCCUGAAGCAGAAAGGAAAAUUGAGUGAUGCUAAAGAAAUCUGAGCACUGAAGAACUGAUGCUCAUGAACUGUGGUGUUGGAGAAGACUCUUUAGAGUCCCUUGGACUGCAAGGAGAUCCAACCAGUCCAUCCUAAAGGAAAUCAACCCUGAAUAUUCAUUGGAAGGACUGAUACUGAAGCUGAGGUUCCCAUACUUUGGCCACCUGAUGUGCAGAGCUGACUCAUUGGAAAAGACCCUAAUGUUGGGAAAGAUUGAAGGCAGGAGGAGAAGGGGACGACAGAGGAUGAGAUGGUUGGAUGGCAUCACCGACUCGAUGGACAUGAGUCUGAGCAAGCUGUGGAAGAUGGUGAAGGGAUAGGAAGCCUGGCGUGCUGCAGUCCAUGGGGUCACAAAGAGUCGGACACGACCGAGUGACUGAACAACAACAGAAGAAAUCAUCGCUUCAUCUCUCUUCUUAAAAGUGUGUGUCUGCACUGCUAUAGUUAUUAAUAAGAUGGAUAACAAGGACCUACUGUACAACACAGGGAACUCUGCUCAAUGUUAUGUAGCAGCCUGGAUGGGAGGGAGUUUGGGGGAGAAUGGAUACAUGUGUAUGUAUGGCUGAGUCCCUUUGCUCUUCGCCUGAAAGUGUCACAACAUUGUUAAUUGGCUAUACUCCAAUAUAAAAAAAGUUCAAAUAAAUUCCUAACGUGAUGCUGUGUCGAGAAGCAUACACAAGAACAGGUGCUAGUCUUUCUGUCCAGGAAGUGGAGCCAGGUGGCCAGGGGUGGUGAGGACCAAGAUAGAGGUUUCACUCUACCUUUUCUGGUACGUUUUGAAUUAUAAACCAUGUGUAUGUAUUACCUAC
ensembl:lncRNA